rnacentral:rRNA from 13 species
GAAAGCGAGUCUGAAUAGGGCGAAAUAGUCGCAUGCUCUAGACCCGAAGCGGAGUGAUCUAUCCAUGGGCAGGUUGAAGCGCGGGUAAGACCGCGUGGAGGACCGAACCCACCAGGGUUAAAAACCUGGGGGAUGACCUGUGGAUAGGGGUGAAAGGCCAAUCAAACUCCGUGAUAGCUGGUUCUCCCCGAAAUGCAUUUAGGUGCAGCGUUGCGUGGUUCUUGUUGGAGGUAGAGCACUGGAUGGUCUAGGGGGCUUAUCGGCUUACCGAAAUCAGCCAAACUCCGAAUGCUGGCAAGUGUAGCGUGGCAGUGAGACGGCGGGGGAUAAGCUUCGUCGUCGAGAGGGAAACAGCCCAGAUCAUCAGCUAAGGCCCCUAAGUGGUGACUCAGUGGGAAAGGAUGUGGAGUUGCGUAGACAACCAGGAGGUUGGCUUGGAAGCAGCCAUCCUUGAAAGAGUGCGUAAUAGCUCACUGGUCAAGUGAUUCCGCGCCGAUAAUGUAGCGGGGCUUAAGUUAUCCGCCGAAGCUGUGGCAACCUGUGUGGUUGGGUAGGGGAGCGUCGUGUCAGUGGUGAAGCUGCCGGGUGACUGUGUGGUGGAGUUGAUGCGAGUGAGAAUGCAGGCAUGAGUAGCGUGUGACGGGUGGGAAUCCCGUCCGCCGAUUAUCCAAGGGUUCCAGGGUCAAGUUUGUCUGCCCUGGGUGAGUCGGGUCCUAAGGCGAGGCCGACAGGCGUAGUCGAUGGGUAACCAGUUGAUAUUCUGGUACCGGCUUGUCACCGUCCGUGUCGAGGUGUGUGAUGCUAAGCAUGUGAGCUUGUCUUGGGAGUGUUUUUGAUGCUUCUGGGGUGGGUGAGUGUGUGAACCGAUCAUGUAGUAGGCAAGCUGCGGAGGGACGCAGUGAGGUAGCUCAUCCCCGGUGAUGGUUGUCCGGGGCUAAGUGUGUGGACUGUCUGGUAGGUAAAUCCGCUGGGCGUGAAGGUUGAGGCAUGAUGGGGAGCCCACGGUUGUGGGUGAGUGAGUGAUCCUGUACUGUCGAGAAAAGCUUCGUGAGCGAGGUGGCGGGUCCGCCCGUACCCUAAACCGACACUGGUGGAUAGGUAGAGUAUACCGAGGCGAUCGAGUGAAUCGUGGUGAAGGAACUCGGCAAAAUGCCCCCGUAACUUUGGGAUAAGGGGGACCUGAGCUGUCGUGCACCCGUGCGGUGUGGUGGCGGUGAGGGGCGCAGAGUCCAGGGGGAAACGACUGUUUACCAAAAACACAGGUCCGUGCGAAGUCGUAAGACGAUGUAUACGGACUGACUCCUGCCCGGUGCUGGAAGGUUAAGGGGAACUGUGAGUGUAUGCGUAGCGGUGAACUUAAGCCCCAGUAAACGGCGGUGGCAACUAUAACCAUCCUAAGGUAGCGAAAUUCCUUGUCGGGUAAGUUCC